GGUGGGUUACCCAAGUGGCCAACGGGGGCAGACUGUAAAUCUGCUGGCGAUGCCUUCCAACGUUCGAAUCGUUGACCCACCACCA
rnacentral:tRNA from 1 species